UUGAAAAAAGUUAAAUGCAGA
rnacentral:piRNA from 1 species